GGAUUCCCCUAGUAACUGCGAGUGAAGCGGGAAAAGCUCAAAUUUAAAAUCUGGUGGUCUUUGGCCAUCCGAGUUGUAAUUUAGAGAAGCGUCUUCCGCGCUGGACCGUGCACAAGUCUCCUGGAAUGGAGCGUCAUAGAGGGUGAGAAUCCCGUCUUUGGCACGGACUCCCGGUGCUUCUGCGAUGCGCUCUCGAAGAGUCGAGUUGUUUGGGAAUGCAGCUCAAAAUGGGUGGUGAACUYCAUCUAAAGCUAAAUACUGGCGAGAGACCGAUAGCGAACAAGUACCGUGAGGGAAAGAUGAAAAGCACUUUGGAAAGAGAGUGAAACAGUACGUGAAAUUGUUGAAAGGGAAACGCUUGAAGUCAGUCGCGUUGACCGAGACUCAGCCUUGCCUUGGCUUGGUGUGCUUCUCGGCUGACGGGUCAGCAUCAAUUUCGAUCYUUGGAUAAUGGCAAGGGAAAGGUAGCACCUUUUUAGGUGUGUUAUAGUCCUCUGUCGCAUGCAAGGGUUGGGAUUGAGGAACUCAGCACGCACCUCYGGGUGUCGGGGUCUUUGCCCACGUUACGUGCUUAGGAUGCUGGCGUAAUGGCUUUAAACGACCCGUCUUGAAACACGGACCAAGGAGUCUAACAUACCCGCGAGUGUUCGGGUGGAAAACCUGUGCGCGUAAUGAAAGUGAAAGUUGGGACCUCUGUCGUGGAGGGCACCGACGCCCGGACCAGACCUUCUGUGACGGCUCUGCGGUAGAGCGUGUAUGUUGGGACCCGAAAGAUGGUGAACUAUGCCUGAAUAGGGUGAAGCCAGAGGAAACUCUGGUGGAGGCUCGUAGCGAUUCUGACGUGCAAAUCGAUCGUCAAAUUUGGGUAUAGGGGCGAAAGAC
rnacentral:rRNA from 1 species